GAGCAAAUAACCGAGCGCAUGAGGCAGCUCUAAUGAGCCCUGUGAUUCGGUUAGGAGACUGCGCGCUGAAAGCGUCGCCCCGAGGACAACGUGACGCCCCGCCUUCCCGCCGCACUUGGGAGGUGCGCGCGCACCCGGGAAAGCGCGCCCAGGGGUGGGACCGCGGAUGUGCCCGGAGACAGCAUGGCGGCUCCGGCGUCGGGAACCCGGAGCGCAAGCCGGAGGCCCGCUACGGUGGCCCGCGGGGGCCCUUAUAGUGUUAGAACGCUGACUCCCCUUCGGCUCCUGGUGGAGCAAAGGGAAUUUCCACCCAGGGAUCAGAAGAACCCUGAGCGGUCGCGGGGCCGAACAGCCAGGACCACCAGAAGAGGACACCCCCAGCUGGCCAGAGUCGGAGGAAGAAAGAAGAGCAAGGCCAUUCAUUGAAUUUCUUCAUUCCCUCGUGAGCACCGACAAACUUCGGUUUGUUCUUGAUAGUGACUCUUUUCCGCGAUCUGUAAAGGGAAGUUCUGUUUCCGGAGAGAUAGGCUGGACUAAAUCAGUCCGUCCAACAGCUAGUUAUCAAGCGCUUACGGAGUGUAAGGCCCUGUGCUAAGUGCCCCCAGAACAAGUGCCCCUUGUCACUCGUCAUUGAGUGUUCUCCCUGGUUAGAGAAGAUGCUAUGUACUGUGGAGAUGGACAGGGCAUAUCCUAAGUCCACAGAUGCUGGCCCUGUAGGCAGGGAGGGUACAUCCUGUCUGGACGGUGACUCACUCUACAGUUGACGGGCAUGUUGCUGCCUCCUUCGGGGGUUAAAGGGCUUCCCUGGUGGCUCAGAUGGUAAAGUGUCUGCCUGCAACGCGGGAGACCUGGGUUUGAUCCCUGGGUGCGGAAGAUCCUCUGGAGAUGGAAAUGGCAACCCACUCCAGUUUUCUUGCCUAGAAAAUCCAUGGACGGCGGUCACAAAGAGUCGGACACGACUGAGCGACUUCACUCACCCCGGGGGUUAAAUGCAAUUCACCAGCCACAGGGUCGCCUCAAAGAUUAGUGUCCCAUCAAGUCCUCAAAUGAUGCUUUUGAACUGUGGUGUUGGAGAAGACUCUUGAGAGUCCCUUGGACUGCAAGAUCAAACAAGUCAAUCCCAAAGAAAACCAGUCCUGAAUAUUCAUUGGAAGGACUGAUGCUAAAGCUGAAGCUCCAAUACUUUGGCCACCUGAUGUGAAGAACUGACUCAUUUGAAAAGACCCUGAUGCUGGGAAAGAUUGAAGAUGGGAGGAGAAGGGGCCAACAGAGGAUGAGAUGGUUGGAUGGCAUCACUGACUUGAUGGACAUGAAUUUGAGUAAGCUCCAGGACUUGGUGAUGGACAGGGAAGCCUGGCAUGCUGCAGUCCAUGGGGUCGCAGAGUCAUACACAACCGAGUGACUGAACUGAAGUCUUCAAAUGGGAUACCUCUGUGUGCAUCCAAUUUUAUGGAUCAGAUGACACUCAAUGCAUGAAAGACAAUUCAGAUGACAGUCUGUGGCCUUCAGGGGAAGGUGCAGCCAGCCUGCCAUGAGGGAGCUGGAGCAGGAAGAACCCGACCUCACCCCAUCCCUGCCAGUGCUCCCUACUGGCUAUAUCCGCCCAAAAGACAGAGAGCCCAUUGAUGUGUCUACAUGAGCCAGCCUCUGGGGUCUCCGUGCAGGAUGAAGAGGAGAAAUUCACUGGUUGGGCUGUGAUGGCAGCCUCUAAGAUGGCCCCCACUUACCUCCACCCCCUGGAAUUCACCCCCUGUGUAGUCUUCUCCCAUAUUGUAGUAGGGCUGGUCUGUGUGACCAGUUAAAAUACAGCAGAAAUGAUAAAUGUCAUUCGUUGGUUGGGUUAUGAAAAGGCACUACAGUCUGGGUUUUAGUUGGUGUGGCAUGUAGCUUCCUGAGAUGGCCCUGGGAUCCCUGCCACCUCCUGGGAUUCAUGCCCUGGUGUACAACUCCUUUCCUGGAGUGUAGGCUGGACCAAGUGACUCGAAUCUAAGGAACAGGAUACGGCAAAAGGGGGGAAACCAAGGACCGUGGCUUCCGUCUUGCCUGCACACUCUUUUGCCUUCUUGUUCGCUUGCUCUGGUGAAGGACACUGCCCACCGGAAAAGCCCUCAUGGCAAGGAGCUGAGGGAGACCUCGGGCCAAGAGCCAGCGAAGAACUGAGGCCUUGAGUACAACAGCCUGAGGAAGUGAGUCCUCCUGACACCCACAGGAGCCUUUGGGAAGAGCAUCACCCAGGUGAGACUUAAGAAUCUCAGACUCUGCUCACUUCGGCAGCACAUCUCCUAAAACUGGAAUGGUAACAGAGAUUAGCAUGGCCCCCGUACGAAGACGGCACACAAAUCUGUGAGGUGUUCUGUAUAUUUGUGUUAUCUCACAACUUUCAUCACAAACUGCUAAAAAACAAUCUUAAAUGAGCUCCAGAUGACACCUCGAUGGCAGCCUUUUUAGAGACCUGGUCCACAGGCAGUGUGAGAGAACAACUGCCGCUUGCAGUUUGGGGGUAAUUUAUUCUACAAUAUAGAAUAUAGGUACCCAAUAC
ensembl:lncRNA